rnacentral:rRNA from 1 species
GGUUGACCUCGGAUCAGGUAGGGAUACCCGCUGAACUUAAGCAUAUCAAUAAGCGGAGGAAAAGAAACCAACCGGGAUUGCCUCAGUAACGGCGAGUGAAGCGGCAAGAGCUCAAAUUUGAAAGCUGGCUCCUUCGGAGUCCGCAUUGUAAUUUGCAGAGGAUGCUUUGGGUGCGGCCCCCGUCUAAGUGCCCUGGAACGGGCCGUCAGAGAGGGUGAGAAUCCCGUCUUGGGCGGGGUGUCCGUGCCCGUGUAAAGCUCCUUCGACGAGUCGAGUUGUUUGGGAAUGCAGCUCUAAAUGGGUGGUAAAUUUCAUCUAAAGCUAAAUACUGGCCGGAGACCGAUAGCGCACAAGUAGAGUGAUCGAAAGAUGAAAAGCACUUUGAAAAGAGAGUUAAACAGCACGUGAAAUUGUUGAAAGGGAAGCGCUUGCGACCAGACUCGCCCGCGGGGUUCAGCCGGCAUUCGUGCCGGUGUACUUCCCCGUGGGCGGGCCAGCGUCGGUUUGGGCGGCCGGUCAAAGGCCCCUGGAAUGUAGUGCCCUCCGGGGCACCUUAUAGCCAGGGGUGCAAUGCGGCCAGCCUGGACCGAGGAACGCGCUUCGGGACGGACGCUGGCAUAGUGGGCGUAAACGACC